UACAGAGGGUGCGAGCGUUGUCCGGAAUCACUGGGCGUAAAGAGCGUGUAGGCGGCCAGGUAGGUCUGCUGUGAAAACCCGAGGCUCAACCUCGAGACGUCGGCGGAAACCAUCUGGCUAGAGUCCGGAAGAGGAGAGUGGAAUUCCUGGUGUAGCGGUGAAAUGCGCAGAUAUCAGGAAGAACACCCGUGGCGAAGGCGGCUCUCUGGGACGGUACUGACGCUGAGACGCGAAAGCGUGGGGAGCGAACAGG
rnacentral:rRNA from 1 species